GAUGAACGCUGGCGGCGUGCCUAAUACAUGCAGGUCGAGCGAACAGAUAAGGAGCUUGCUCCUUUGACGUUAGCGGCGGACGGGUGAGUAACACGUGGGUAACCUACCUAUAAGACUGGGAUAACUUCGGGAAACCGGAGCUAAUACCGGAUAACAUUUGGAACCGCAUGGUUCUAAAGUGAAAGAUGGUUUUGCUAUCACUUAUAGAUGGACCCGCGCCGUAUUAGCUAGUUGGUAAGGUAACGGCUUACCAAGGCAACGAUACGUAGCCGACCUGAGAGGGUGAUCGGCCACACUGGAACGGAGACGCGGUCCAGACUCCUACGGGAGGCAGCAGUAGGGAAUCUUCCGCAAUGGGCGAAAGCCUGACGGAGCAACGCCGCGUGAGUGAUGAAGGGUUUCGGCUCGUAAAACUCUGUUAUUAGGGAAGAACAAACGUGUAAGUAACUGUGCACGUCUUGACGGUACCUAAUCAGAAAGCCACGGCUAACUACGUG
rnacentral:rRNA from 1 species